GCUGGAAGCGGGACGACUGGAGGGUGUCGCCGCUGUCAACGGCGAGGCUUGCGGUUUCAACGGCGGCUUCCAGUUC
rnacentral:tRNA from 1 species